UACGUAGGGGGCAAGCGUUGUCCGGAAUCAUUGGGCGUAAAGAGCGUGUAGGCGGUUCGGUAAGUCCGUCGUGAAAGUCCAGGGCUCAACCCUGGAAAGCCGAUGGAUACUGCCGGACUAGAGUCCGGAAGAGGCGAGUGGAAUUCCUGGUGUAGCGGUGAAAUGCGCAGAUAUCAGGGGGAACACCUAUGGCGAAGGCAGCUCGCUGGGACGGCACUGACGCUGAGACGCGAAAGCGUGGGGAGCAAACAGG
rnacentral:rRNA from 1 species